rnacentral:rRNA from 1 species
GAUGAACGCUGGCGGCGUGCUUAACACAUGCAAGUCGAACGGUGAAGGCGGAGCUUGCUCUGCUGGAUCAGUGGCGAACGGGUGAGUAACACGUGAGCAAUCUGCCCCUGACUCUGGGAUAAGCGCUGGAAACGGCGUCUAAUACUGGAUACGAGCUGCGAAGGCAUCUUCAGCAGCUGGAAAGAAUUUCGGUCAGGGAUGAGCUCGCGGCCUAUCAGCUUGUUGGUGAGGUAAUGGCUCACCAAGGCGUCGACGGGUAGCCGGCCUGAGAGGGUGACUGGCCACACUGGGACUGAGACACGGCACAGACUCCUACGGGAGGCAGCAGUGGGGAAUAUUGCACAAUGGGCGAAAGCCUGAUGCAGCAACGCCGCGUGAGGGACGACGGCCCUCGGGUUGUAAACCUCUUUUAGCAGGGAAGAAGCGAAAGUGACGGUACCUGCAGAAAAAGCGCCGGCUAACUACGUG